AAAAGUCCCUUUCUAAUAAAUCUCUCAUGAGCUCCUCCAGCUCUUUGCAGGUCAUUCUUGAGGGCCUAUUGGCAAAUGCCUACUGCCAGCAGACCCAUCUUAUUUAUGAUGAGGCUUUUGCAAAAUCUACCACUGUAAUUUGCUCAGUCCCCAUUCCCAAGCAGCUUUUCCUUCCUGUCAUUUCUGAGACACCAGGUUCAAUAAUAGCUCUUGACUGAUGUUUAUCUAAAUCUCUGCAAUCUAUAACCAAAGUUUACCUUUCUUCCUUAUAGGAAUGAAGUAGAAUGAAUGUGGGUAAGAGAGUGGGGGGGGGGAGAAUAAAAAACAAACAAAUAAACAUCAAAUACCACCAAUCUUUGGUGAGUUUAUCUCACUUGAAUAGUCUGUCAAUUCCCACACUGAUCAAGAGCAAAGGAAAGGGGAUUCUGACAGUGACCCUACAUGGAUCACUGAGACCAACACUUAGCACCGGAAGGGAUAAGAAACAACAAAGCUUGACAUCACUUAAUGGAUUUGGGGGCAAUUUGGAAGUGAAAUCAUUGGCUCUUCACAUUUCCACAGAACUUGACAUUUUACCAAAGGCUUCAUUCAUGUCAAUUUCAACAUAAUUCCUAAUCCAGUGGUCUCUCUCAGCACCAUCCAGUCUCUCAAAACAAGCCCCAUUCCCUUCCGAGGAAUAAACUGUAUUUUGAUUUUUGUAUGAACUGUGUCCUUCUUUCUUGAUCUUUUCAUGUCUCCUUCAGUCCUUCCGUCUUGCACACAUUUCCCCCUUCCCCGCCUUCUGCUGUCUGUCUCUGUACCGGGUGAUCUAGGCAGGGGCAGGGAGGAGUACAAAGCAGAACUGCAGCUGUCACACAGGAGACACUAGCUGGUAGAGAGUUUGAUAUCCUAGGCCAGCCAAUUGUCAGGAAAUGAGGCAUAUGGUGAGACGGCUGGUGGCAGUACUUGCUGGCUACUCUCUAGGGCUGGACCAGAGAUUACUUAGAGGAGGGAGGAAAGGAAGUAGUAGGAGGAGAGAAAUGACAACUGCAUUUGAUGCUGAAAUAUUUGCAGGCUUUCAGGAAUGUGAAGGACAAAGGAGCUCCAUCCUCCCUGCUGUCUGGAGCUCAG
rnacentral:lncRNA from 1 species